rnacentral:rRNA from 1 species
UACGGGAGGCAGCAGUGGGGAAUAUUGCACAAUGGGCGCAAGCCUGAUGCAGCCAUGCCGCGUGUAUGAAGAAGGCCUUCGGGUUGUAAAGUACUUUCAGUCGUGAGGAAGGUGUUAAGGUUAAUAACCUUAGCAAUUGACGUUAGCGACAGAAGAAGCACCGGCUAACUCCGUGCCAGCAGCCGCGGUAAUACGGAGGGUGCGAGCGUUAAUCGGAAUUACUGGGCGUAAAGGGCACGCAGGCGGUUAAUUAAGUUGGAUGUGAAAUCCCCGGGCUUAACCUGGGAAUGGCAUUCAAGACUGGUUAGCUAGAGUCUUGUAGAGGGGGUAGAAUUCCAUGUGUAGCGGUGAAAUGCGUAGAGAUGUGGAGGAAUACCGGGUGGCGAAGGCGGCCCCUGGACAAAGACUGACGCUCAUGUGCGAAAGCGUGGGGAGCGAAAACAGGAUUAGAUACC